GAAAUCUGUGGAGCACUCAAAACUUGUCUCUGAGAUUUUUUUUAAAUAGGACUGCUAAAAAGUAAGAUUGAAAAAGUGUGACAAUGACGUGAAGUGGGAAGAAAGCUGGCGACUGUGGGAUGGCAGCUAAGCGAUCGCUAACCUGUUUCGAUGCUAGUACGACGCAGUGGAAACCUCAGAAAACAACGCUGCGAUGCAAAUGAGAGAAGUCAAGCUGUGUCCUUGAGGUUACGAGAGGAAAUGUCAGGACUAAAGGAAACCAGGAGGUAUGUGACUAGGUGAGAUACAGAAUUUAUAGUACCCUUCACGGAGAUGUACUUCAAUACCGACCCAUCCUUCUCCGUAGUCGUAGAUGCGGCAAAUUUGGAAUUAUGGGAAAUCCGGAUCAGGAAAAACUUCAACUAGUCUCAUCAGAAGUGAACUUGGAUCAGACAAUUUUAUAUUUGUCA